CUAUCGUUUUCCGGUCGCUGAAAACAGCGAUCGGGUUUGGUAGCCCGGAUC
rnacentral:ncRNA from 1 species